rnacentral:lncRNA from 1 species
UUUUGUAUUAAAAAAUUAAAUGGAUGAAAUAUGAAGUUUUAUUAAAAAAAAGGGGUGAAAAGAACAAAGUUUUGUCCAUCUUUGUUCAUCAUAGCUGAAAGUUAGAGAAGAGAAAGGAGAGGAGAAAGCUCUUGAGUAUUCGGUCAUUAGGAGGAGGAAAAUUGAAGGUAAGUUCUUGGUACCUUGCUUCUAUUUUGAGGUUCAUGAGUUCUUCUUGAUUCUACCUUAACUCUUGAAGUAUAUUUUGAUUUUUAGUUGUGUUGUGAGCAUUUAGUCAUGAAUUAAAAUGAAGUAAAUGGUUGUUGUUUCAUGUUCUUUUGAUGAAAAAUGAAAGAUAGGUGAAGUUGAGCCAAACAAAUGAGCAUGCAUGUGCCUUAGAUGUUAAAGGGAAAAAUCAGCUAACAUGUUUUGCUUUAAAAUGAUGAAAUGGAGAUUAUACUUAAGUAAAAUCAUAGAUAUGUGAUGAUUGAUUGGUGAUAUACAUGUUUAAAUAACAUGCAUGCAAGGUAUGUGUGAAAGAGUGAUUUGGUAAUAAAUCUGCUUGGGACAGCAGCAGUAAUGUGACUUUGGAAAAUCACCAUAAAUUGUGGGAGAAGAAUUAGAAGCUGAAUAAAUUAUGUAAUUAAAGCUUAUUGAGUCUAGUUUCUAAUGAAAUAAACAAGAACAUAUUUUGAAUUCUGUACAAUGAGAAAUUUUAUUCGUAAUGAAGGGUGGUCAGAUUAGUCAAACAGUGAAACAUGGGAAACUUUUAGAAAAAUCUGGUAUUGAUUGGCCAAACCAAAAAUUCUGAAAAUUUUAUGGAUAGAAGAUAUAUGAGUCUAUUUUCAGGCAAAAUUAAUGGAACUUGAUUUGGAGUUUCGUAGCUCCAGUUAUAAAUGAUUUAGUGACUGUCGCUCAGGAAGACAGCUUGCAGUGAAAUUAUGAUUAUGUGGUAAACAUUGACAAAAAUUUGUUAAUGAGUUGCUUAUUGUUUUCUUAUAAGCUUACUAUGAUCUGUAGGUGUGGUUGGCCGAAUAUUGUAAGGGGUUAAUACGUAGUUCGUAUUUGAAUAGUUAGAUUAACGUGUUAGUAAUCCAAUUGUAGGCGGUUCGUGUGUGGAUCUCGUCAGCAUAUCGUCGCAAACAGGUGUGUAACUAACACCCUCUUUCUUAGUCUAGAUCGGCAAAAGCCGAAAUGCCGAAAACUGGUAUUUUGUAGAUUUGCGAGUGUGCGAAUGCUCGUGAGGUAAAUCGAUUAAUGUUUUUGGUAAGCUGCAAUGUUUGGACUGCAAAGUGCAUGAUUUCUAUGCCCUCGAUAUUUUUGGGCUUAAUGGGCCAAAAUUGGAAUGAUGGGCCAACGGGCCCAAUCCGGUAAGAAACCUCGGUACGUGAUUCUGUUAGUACGUGAAAGGUAGGAAUAUGCAUGAAAAACCCUAAAAUAGAUAAAUUACUGAAAUACCUUUAAAAGUGGAAAAUUUACAGUUUUACCCCCUAGGAAAUAAAUUACCGAAAUACCCCUAGGGUUAAAUUGACCUAAAUGCAUGUUUGACUGUUGUUAUUUACUGCAUGCCAUGUUGUUAUUAUCUGAUGCAUGGGACUGGGAUAUUGACGGAGGAAGUACUGAAAGUGGCUUGUCCACGUACUGGAGGCUUUGCCUCAAUUUACUGUUAACUGAGCAGCAAGGCUGCAACUGUGGAGUGUUGGGCUGGGUGGCUUGAGCUAUUCCCCACAUGGAGUGUAUGGCUGGUACGGGUGGAGUGUAAUGGUUGGUGGGUUGAGUAGUCUCCCCAAAUGGGCUUGCAUAUGUUUACUGAUGUUGUAUGUAUUUUGAAAUGGGCCUAUGGGCCAUACUGUUAUCUAAAUAAGGGGCUAAGGCCCAGUUUAUUGUAAUCUGAAAAGGGCUCUGGCCCAGUACCACUGUUACCUGAAUGGGCUUAGGCCCAAUAGGCUUGAGCUGACUUGGGCUUUGAAUGGGUUUUCCUUACACACUGAGUUUCCCCAAACUCACCCCUUUUAUUUUCAUCCACGCAGGAAAUCCCCAACCAUAGUGGGCUUGGAGUUGUGAGGGAAUUCGGAGUGGCCACCCGUUCUGAAAGUUUGAUUUUCUUCUGGUGAACUGGACAUCCUUUUAUUUACGUUUGAAGUUUUUGGGCUUUUAAAUGUAAUAAGGCCGCUUAAUUAUUUUUGAUGGUUUUAAUAUGUAUUACUAAGAUAGGUAAUACUUAUUUUAACUGUUGAAAUUGGAUAGCUUUAGGGCGCGUUUUCAAAAACAACAGUUGAUUUCAAAAUAACACGACAACAAGCAAAGCUUUCGCAAUGAAAGUAAUUUUCCAAAAUUAAUCACUUUUCCUAAAAAUGACUUAAUCAAAUCGGUUUCCUAGAAAUAUCCAUGACGUUAAGGUGUGGCAAUGGCGGUAUGCAUGUCUAGGAUUGGAUCCGAAGGGAGCUUGGUACUUAAGCAGUCCGAUGGACUCACCACCUCUUUUCCGGUUUCCUACCUGGUGCACAGCUUCCAUUCACUUUAACCCUUAAUGAAUUAAUCUUUUGAACAUCAAGUACGAUUUUCUGGACUUAGAAUGGAAAUUUUUUUUUAAACAUUUUUUAUGUGGCAUGCCGGAUCCAGCCAUAACUUCUGGGCCGGGUUUGGGGUGUUACAUGAAAAUUAAUGAAACAUUGAUAUAUUUGAUAAAAUGGGAAGAAAUCUCGGUUGAAUGAAAGGAAAAUUCGAUGGAUCUCUGAAAAGGAAUUGACGGUAAAAAGGAUCUAGCCCGGACGGGUGAUCCUAUCCUGAUAUAGCCCUCCCGAAGAAUAUGUGUAAAAUGGAUUUAGCCCGGACGGGUAAUCCGAAUUAGGGUCUAAAUUUAGCCUGGACUGGUAAUUCAGAUCCAAGCUGAUUAGAGUAAUUGUCGUUGCAGGGGAUUUAGCCUGGACUGGUAAUCCCGACAAUACUCUAUGAGUUUAUAUUGCAGGGGAUUUAGUCUGGACUGGUAAUCCCGCUGCAAGGUUGAGGUUCGCGGGAGUGUGCUCUCUGAAAUGGAUAUGUGCACACAUGAAUAUGAAUUGACGGACCCGGAAAUAUACACUUAAAGUGUAUCUCUGAAAAUCCAUCGAAAAUUCCAAGAAAUUCAACGGGAUAAAUAUGGAAAAAUAACAAGAAAAUGGAAAUCAUGGUAUUGACGAGCUCAUCAAUCAUGGUAUAUAUUAUUGGUACAUGGAAAUUAUUGUACUAACUUGAAUGUUGAGUUUGUGCGUAUUAGGGUAAUAAUGCAUUGAAUGGAUAUAUGGAUGUUUAUUGUAUUGUAUUGAAAAUAUUAGGUAAGUAUAAUUCUUGUUACAUGAGCUUACUAAGCACGAAGUGCUUACCCCGUUUCCUUUUUCCCUGUUUUGUAGUGUUAAGAGCUCGGAGGUCGGAUUUGGUUGGAGACACAUCACACUGUCAACCUCAGGAUUUCGGUAUAUAAAGAAACUUUAUUUUGGAAAUCAAUGGCAUGUAUAAGCUAACAAAGUAAAUGUUAACGUGAAAUGAAUGUAAAGUUAGCCAUUAGUAUGGUUAACAAACCUGGUUAUAGAUAUGUGAUGACGUUAUCUUAUAUAAAUGCAUGAAUCUAUCAUGAAAAUAUGUUGAAUUGAUUUGGUUGAUGUGGACUGG